rnacentral:rRNA from 1 species
GCUUAUGGCCAUACCAGCCUGGCUAUGCCCGAUCUCGUCUGAUCUCGGAAGCUAAGCAGGUUUGGGCCUGGUUAGUACUUGGAUGGGAGACCGCCUGGGAAUACCAGGUGCUGUAAGCA